rnacentral:rRNA from 1 species
UACAGAGGUCUCAAGCGUUGUUCGGAUUCAUUGGGCGUAAAGGGUGCGUAGGCGGCGCGGUAAGUCGGGUGUGAAAUCUCGGAGCUUGAACUCCGAAACUGCAUUCGAUACUGCCGUGCUUGAGGACUGGAGAGGAGAUCUGGAAUUUACGGUGUAGCGGUGAAAUGCGUAGAUAUCGUAAGGAAGACCAGUGGACGGAAGGCGGGUC